CCCCACUGCUAUCGGGGUGGGACUAAAACAUGCAAGUCGAGCGCCUCCAAGCUAUGGUGAAGGCGCGGCAAACGGCUCAGUAACACGUGGCCAACCUACCCUUGGGACGGAGACAACCCCGGGAAACUGGGGCUAAUCCCCGAUAAGUAAGGAAUCCUGGAAUGGAUCUUUGCUGAAAGGGCGUCUAGACCAUGCUUCUUGACGUCGCCCAAGGAUGGAGCCGCGACCGAUCAGGUAGUUGGCGAGGCAACGGCUCACCAAGCCUAUAACCGGUACGGGCCGUGAGAGCGGGAGCCCGGAGAUGGGCACUGAGACAAGGGCCCAGGCCCUACGGGGCGCAGCAGUUGCGAAAACUCCGCAAUGCGCGAAAGCGUGACGGGGCUACCCCGAGUGCCGCCCGUUGAGGGCGGCUUUUCCGCGGUGUAAGGAGCCGUGGGAAUAAGGAGAGGGCAAGACUGGUGUCAGCCGCCGCGGUAAUACCAGCUCUCCGAGUGGUGGGGACGAUUAUUGGGCUUAAAGCGUUCGUAGCCGGCUUAACAAGUCUUCCGUUAAAUCCAACGAUCUAAUCGUUGGGCUGCGGGAGAUACUGUUGGGCUAGGAGGCGGGAGAAGCCGACGGUAUUCUCGGGGUAGGGGUGAAAUCCUGUAAUCCCGGGAGGACCACCAGUGGCGAAGGCGGUCGGCUAGAACGCGCUCGACGGUGAGGGACGAAAGCUGGGGGAGCGAACCGGAUUAGAAACCCGGGUAGUCCCAGCUGUAAACGAUGCGGGCUAGGUGUUGGGGUGGCCACGAGCCACUUCAGUGCCGCAUGGAAGCAAUUAAGCCCGCCGCCUGGGGAGUACGGCCGCAAGGCUGAAACUUAAAGGAAUUGGCGGGGGAGCACCACAAGGCGUGAAGCUUGCGGUUU
rnacentral:rRNA from 1 species